ACGGUCCAGACUCCUACGGGAGGCAGCAGUGGGGAAUAUUGCGCAAUGGGGGCAACCCUGACGCAGCAACGCCGCGUGAGUGAAGAAGGCCUUCGGGUUGUAAAGCUCUUUCGGUUGGGAAGAAGUGUGUAUAUAUGAAUAGUAUGUGCAUGUGAUUGUACCAGUAGAAGAAGCACCGGCAAACUUCGUGCCAGCAGCCGCGGUAAUACGAAGGGUGCGAGCGUUGUUCGGAAUUAUUGGGCGUAAAGGGUUCGUAGGCGGGUGUUCAAGUUGAAUGUGAAAAGUCUAGGCUCAACCUAGGUCGUGCAAUCAAAACUGAGUAUCUUGAGUUAUGGAGAGGGUGGUGGAAUUGCUGGUGUAGGAGUGACAUCCGUAGAGAUCAGCAGGAACGCCGGAGGCGAAAGCGACCACCUGGCCGUUGACUGACGCUGAGGAACGAAAGCGUGGGUAGCAAACAGGAUUAGAUACCCUGGUAGUCCACGCUGUAAACGAUGAUGACUAGAUGUUGGAAGUGUUUGACCUUUUAGUAUCGCAGUACACACGAUAAGUCAUCCGCCUGGGGAGUACGGCCGCAAGGCUAAAACUCAAAGGAAUUGACGGGGACCCGCACAAGCGGUGGAGUAUGUGGUUUAAUUCGACGCAACGCGAAGAACCUUACCUGGGUUUGAAAUUUUACUAGAUAUUGCAGAGAUGUGAUAGCUCCGCAAGGGGUAGUGGAACAGGUGCUGCAUGGCUGUCGUCAGCUCGUGUCGUGAGAUGUUGGGUUAAGUCCCGCAACGAGCGCAACCCUUGUCCUUAGUUGCCAUCAUUAAGUUGGGUACUUUAGGGAGACUGCCGGUGAUAAACCGGAGGAAGGUGGGGAUGACGUCAAGUCCUCAUGGCUCUUACGUCCAGGGCGACACACGUACUACAAUGGCCGAGACAAAGCGAAGCGAAGUCGUAAGGUGGAGCUAACCGCAAAAACACGGUCUCAGUUCGGAUUGUGGUCUGCAACUCGACCACAUGAAGUUGGAAUCGCUAGUAAUUGCGGAUCAGCAAGCCGCGGUGAAUACGUUC
rnacentral:rRNA from 1 species